GACGAACGCUGGCGGCGUGCUUAACACAUGCAAGUCGAACGAAGAGCGAUGGAAGCUUGCUUCUAUCAAUAUUAGUGGCGAACGGGUGAGUAACGCGUAAUCAACCUGCCCUUCAGAGGGGGACAACAGUUGGAAACGACUGCUAAUACCGCAUACGAUCUAAUCUCGGCAUCGAGGAUAGAUGAAAGGUGGCCUCUACAUGUAAGCUAUCACUGAAGGAGGGGAUUGCGUCUGAUUAGCUAGUUGGAGGGGUAACGGCCCACCAAGGCGAUGAUCAGUAGCCGGUCUGGGAGGAUGAACGGCCACAUUGGGACUGAGACACGGCCCAGACUCCUACGGGAGGCAGCAGUGGGGAAUCUUCCGCAAUGGACGAAAGUCUGACGGAGCAACGCCGCGUGAGUGAUGACGGCCUUCGGGUUGUAAAGCUCUGUUAAUCGGGACGAAAGGCCUUCUUGCGAAUAGUGAGAAGGAUUGACGGUACCGGAAUAGAAAGCCACGGCUAACUACGUG
rnacentral:rRNA from 1 species